rnacentral:snoRNA from 12 species
ACUGGCAAAGAUGACAUCCACUUGCCCUCACUUAGACUCAGUUCAUUGAUGAGAGCACUAGUUCUGAGCCAGU